CUACGGAGGGUGCAAGCGUUAUUCGGAAUCACUGGGCGUAAAGGACGCGUAGGCGGGUUGGCAAGUCAGAUGUGAAAUCCUACAGCUUAACUGUAGAACUGCAUUUGAAACUGCUAACCUAGAGUAUGGGAGGGGGAGAUGGAAUUAGUGGUGUAGGGGUAAAAUCCGUAGAUAUCACUAGGAAUACCGAAAGCGAAGGCGAUCUCCUGGAACAUAACUGACGCUAAGGCGUGAAAGCGCGGGGAGCAAACAGGAUUAGAUACCCUUGUAGUCC
rnacentral:rRNA from 1 species